GCAAACUUGGUCAUUUAGAGGAAGUAAAAGUCGUAACAAGGUUUCCGUAGGUGAACCUGCGGAAGGAUCAUUAUUGAAUAAACUUUUGGUUGGAUUGCUGCUGGCUUUUUUAUAAAGUAUGUGCACAUCCUUUCCAAAAUUUUUUUCUAAACUCCCCCCACAUGUGCAUCUUUGUAAAUCUGAAACACUGUAUUCUAAUAGAAUACAUUUGAGAAUUGCUUUAUUAUUGCAACUAGGCUUUUCUUGUAUUGAUGAUUUAUGUUUAUUUAUUAACAAUAUAUGUAUUAAAGUAAUGUUUAUUCAGGCUAUUGUGCCUUAUAAAUAAAGUUACAACUUUCAACAAUGGAUCUCUUGGCUCUUGCAUCGAUGAAGAACGCAGC
rnacentral:misc_RNA from 1 species